rnacentral:rRNA from 1 species
CAAAAACAUCGCCUCCUGCAAAAAUCAAAAUAUAGGAGGUCUUACCUGCCCAGUGACAAACAGUUUAACGGCCGCGGUAUCCUGACCGUGCUAAGGUAGCGCAAUCACUUGUCUUUUAAAUGAGGACCUGUAUGAAUGGUGAAACGAGGGCUUAACUGUCUCCCUUUUCCAGUCAAUGAAAUUGAUCUGCCCGUGCAGAAGCGGACAUAACUAUACAAGACGAGAAGACCCUUUGGAGCUUUAGGCAUAAAGUUAACUGUAUUUUAUAACCUCAAACAAAAACAGGUUAAAUAAAACAACACCUAACUCUUAAGCCUUCGGUUGGGGCGACCGUGGGGGAAAACAAAGCCCCCAUGCGGAUUGGGAAACUCCUAAAACUAAGAGGGACACCUCUAAGUCACAGAACAUCUGACCAACAGAUCCGGCAAUAAGCCGAUUAACGAACCAAGUUACCCUAGGGAUAACAGCGCAAUCCCCUCCAAGAGUUCUUAUCGACAAGGGGGGUUUACGACCUCGAUGUUGGAUCAGGACAUCCUAAUGGUGCAGCCGCUAUUAAGGGUUCGUUUGUUCCAACGAUUAAAGUCCUACGUGAUCUG